rnacentral:rRNA from 1 species
AACGCUAGCUACAGGCUUAACACAUGCAAGUCGAGGGGUUUGCUUCGGCAAACGACCGGCGCACGGGUGAGUAACGCGUAUCCAACCUGCCAUUCAUAUUGGGAUAGCCCUCCGAAAGGAGGGUUAAUACCGAAUAACAUAUUGUUGUUGCAUGAUAUCAAUAUGAAAGCUGAGGCGAUGAAUGAUGGGGAUGCGUUCCAUUAGGUAGUAGGCGGGGUAACGGCCCACCUAGCCAACGAUGGAUAGGGGUUCUGAGAGGAAGGUCCCCCACACUGGAACUGAGACACGGUCCAGACUCCUACGGGAGGCAGCAGUGAGGAAUAUUGGUCAAUGGGCGCAAGCCUGAACCAGCCAAGUAGCGUGAAGGAUGACUGCCCUAUGGGUUGUAAACUUCUUUUAUACGGGAACAAUCGCAGGUACGUGUACCUGUUUGCGUGUACCGUAUGAAUAAGCAUCGGCUAACUCCGUGCCAGCAGCCGCGGUAAUACGGAGGAUGCGAGCGUUAUCCGGAUUUAUUGGGUUUAAAGGGAGCGUAGGUGGUUUGUUAAGCCAGCUGUGAAAUACUGUAGCUCAACUACAGCCGUGCAGUUGGAACUGGCAGACUUGAGUGCACAAGAGGAAGGUGGAAUUCGUGGUGUAGCGGUGAAAUGUUUAGAUAUCACGAAGAACUCCGAUUG